UACGUAGGGGGCAAGCGUUAUCCGGAAUUACUGGGUGUAAAGGGAGCGUAGACGGCUGUGCAAGUCUGGAGUGAAAGGCGGGGGCCCAACCCCCGGACUGCUCUGGAAACUGUAUGGCUGGAGUGCAGGAGAGGUAAGCGGAAUUCCUAGUGUAGCGGUGAAAUGCGUAGAUAUUAGGAGGAACACCAGUGGCGAAGGCGGCUUACUGGACUGUAACUGACGUUGAGGCUCGAAAGCGUGGGGAGCAAACAGG
rnacentral:rRNA from 1 species